CAUUUCACUAGAUGCUUAUACUUGGAUCAUACAAAGUGAGCCUCAAAAUUGGGCUAAUGCAUUCUUUCAGGGUACUAGAUAUAACCAUAUGAUGUCUAACUUUGGAGAGAUGUUCUAUAGUUGGGCAUCAGAUGCUCAUGAAUUGCCGAUAACACAGAUGGUUGAUGCAAUACGGGGUAAGGUUAUGGAGUUGAUUUACACACAGCGGGCAGAAUCUGAUCUGUGGAUGACAAGGUUAACACCAUCCAUGGAGGAAAAACUUGAAAAGGAGAGCUUAAAGGCCCCCUCCCUUCAAGUGCUACUGUCUGCUGGUAGCACAUUUGAGGUUCGUGGUGAAUCAGUUGAAGUGGUUGACAUUGAUCGAUGGGAUUGUAGUUGCAAAGGGUGGCAGCUAACUGGUUUACCUUGCUGCCAUGCUGUUGCAGUCAUUAGUUGUAUUGGAAGGAGCCCAUAUGAAUAUUGUUCAAGAUAUUUCACAACUGAGAGCUACAGAUUAACUUAUUCAGAAUCAGUUCAUCCUAUACCAACUGUGGACUGGCCUGUCCCGAAAGAUUCUUCUCAACUUACAGUAACUGUAACCCCUCCUCCAACCCGACGCCCUCCAGGACGACCCACUACAAAGAGAUGUGGACCACAAGAUGUAGCUAAACGUCAGCUCCAGUGCAGUAGGUGCAAGGGUCUUGGACACAACAAAUCCACCUGCAAAGAGCUUUUGUAGAGUGUUAGAAGAGCUUUGUAAAGUUUAAGGCGCU
rnacentral:misc_RNA from 1 species